UUUAUGGGGUGACUGCGUACCUUUUGUAUAAUGGGUCAGCGACUUAUAUUCUGUAGCAAGGUUAACCGUAUAGGGGAGCCGAAGGGAAACCGAGUCUUAACUGGGCGUUAAGUUGCAGGGUAUAGACCCGAAACCCGGUGAUCUAGCCAUGGGCAGGUUGAAGGUUGGGUAACACUAACUGGAGGACCGAACCGACUAAUGUUGAAAAAUUAGCGGAUGACCUGUGGCUGGGGGUGAAAGGCCAAUCAAACCGGGAGAUAGCUGGUUCUCCCCGAAAGCUAUUUAGGUAGCGCCUCGUGAACUCAUCUUCGGGGGUAGAGCACUGUUUCGGCUAGGGGGCCAUCCCGGCUUACCAACCCGAUGCAAACUACGAAUACCGAAGAAUGUUAUCACGGGAGACACACGGCGGGUGCUAACGUCCGUCGUGAAGAGGGAAACAACCCAGACCGCCAGCUAAGGUCCCAAAGUCAUGGUUAAGUGGGAAACGAUGUGGGAAGGCACAGACAGCCAGGAUGUUGGCUUAGAAGCAGCCAUCAUUUAAAGAAAGCGUAAUAGCUCACUGGUCGAGUCGGCCUGCGCGGAAGAUGUAACGGGGCUAAACCAUGCACCGAAGCUGCGGCAGCGACACUAUGUGUUGUUGGGUAGGGGAGCGUUCUGUAAGCCGUUGAAGGUGUGCUGUGAGGCAUGCUGGAGGUAUCAGAAGUGCGAAUGCUGACAUAAGUAACGAUAAAGCGGGUGAAAAGCCCGCUCGCCGGAAGACCAAGGGUUCCUGUCCAACGUUAAUCGGGGCAGGGUGAGUCGACCCCUAAGGCGAGGCCGAAAGGCGUAGUCGAUGGGAAACAGGUUAAUAUUCCUGUACUUGGUGUUACUGCGAAGGGGGGACGGAGAAGGCUAUGUCAGCCGGGCGACGGUUGUCCCGGUUUAAGCAUGUAGGCGGAGGUUCCAGGUAAAUCCGGUACCUUAUUAACGCUGAGGUGUGAUGACGAGGCACUACGGUGCUGAAGUGAUAAAUGCCCUGCUUCCAGGAAAAGCCUCUAAGCAUCAGGUAACACGAAAUCGUACCCCAAACCGACACAGGUGGUCAGGUAGAGAAUACCAAGGCGCUUGAGAGAACUCGGGUGAAGGAACUAGGCAAAAUGGUGCCGUAACUUCGGGAGAAGGCACGCUGAUGUGUAGGUGAAGCCCCUGCGGGCGGAGCUGAAAUCAGUCGAAGAUACCAGCUGGCUGCAACUGUUUAUUAAAAACACAGCACUGUGCAAACACGAAAGUGGACGUAUACGGUGUGACGCCUGCCCGGUGCCGGAAGGUUAAUUGAUGGGGUUAGCGGCAACGCGAAGCUCUUGAUCGAAGCCCCGGUAAACGGCGGCCGUAACUAUAACGGUCCUAAGGUAGCGAAAUUCCUUGUCGGGUAAGUUCCGACCUGCACGAAUGGCGUAAUGAUGGCCAGGCUGUCUCCACCCGAGACUCAGUGAAAUUGAACUCGCUGUGAAGAUGCAGUGUACCCGCGGCAAGACGGAAAGACCCCGUGAACCUUUACUAUAGCUUGACACUGAACACUGGUCCUUGAUGUGUAGGAUAGGUGGGAGGCUUUGAAGCGUGGACGCCAGUCUGCGUGGAGCCAACCUUGAAAUACCACCCUUUAAUGGCUGGUGUUCUAACGUAGACCCGUAAUCCGGGUUGCGGACAGUGUCUGGUGGGUAGUUUGACUGGGGCGGUCUCCUCCCAAAGAGUAACGGAGGAGCACGAAGGUUGGCUAAUCCUGGUCGGACAUCAGGAGGUUAGUGCAAUGGCAUAAGCCAGCUUGACUGCGAGCGUGACGGCGCGAGCAGGUGCGAAAGCAGGUCAUAGUGAUCCGGUGGUUCUGAAUGGAAGGGCCAUCGCUCAACGGAUAAAAGGUACUCCGGGGAUAACAGGCUGAUACCGCCCAAGAGUUCAUAUCGACGGCGGUGUUUGGCACCUCGAUGUCGGCUCAUCACAUCCUGGGGCUGAAGUAGGUCCCAAGGGUAUGGCUGUUCGCCAUUUAAAGUGGUACGCGAGCUGGGUUUAGAACGUCGUGAGACAGUUCGGUCCCUAUCUGCCGUGGGCGCUGGAGAAUUGAGGGGGGCUGCUCCUAGUACGAGAGGACCGGAGUGGACGCAUCACUGGUGUUCGGGUUGUCAUGCCAAUGGCACUGCCCGGUAGCUAAAUGCGGAAGAGAUAAGUGCUGAAAGCAUCUAAGCACGAAACUUGCCCCGAGAUGAGUUCUCCCUGAGACCUUGAGUCUCCUGAAGGAACGUUAAAGACGAUGACGUUGAUAGGUCGGGUGUGUAAGCGCAGCGAUGCGUUGAGCUAACCGAUACUAAUGAACCGUGAGGCUUAACC
rnacentral:rRNA from 1 species